CGUUAACGAUGUCGAUUUGGAGGUUGUGCCCUUGAGGCGUGGCUUCCGAAGCUAACGCGUUAAAUCGACCGCCUGGGGAGUACGGCCGCAAGGUUAAAACUCAAAUGAAUUGACGGGGGCCCGCACAAGCGGUGGAGCAUGUGGUUUAAUUCGAUGCAACGCGAAGAACCUUACCUACUCUUGACAUCCAGCGAAUCCUGUAGAGAUACGGGAGUGCCUUCGGGAACGCUGAGACAGGUGCUGCAUGGCUGUCGUCAGCUCGUGUUGUGAAAUGUUGGGUUAAGUCCCGCAACGAGCGCAACCCUUAUCCUUUGUUGCCAGCGGUUCGGCCGGGAACUCAAAGGAGACUGCCAGUGAUAAACUGGAGGAAGGUGGGGAUGACGUCAAGUCAUCAUGGCCCUUACGAGUAGGGCUACACACGUGCUACAAUGGCGUAUACAAAGAGAAGCGAACUCGCGAGAGCAAGCGGACCUCAUAAAGUACGUCGUAGUCCGGAUUGGAGUCUGCAACUCGACUCCAUGAAGUCGGAAUCGCUAGUAAUCGUGGAUCAGAAUGCCACGGUGAAUACGUUCCCGGGCCUUGUACACACCGCCCGUCACACCAUGGGAGUGGGUUGCAAAAGAAGUAGGUAGCUUAACCU
rnacentral:rRNA from 1 species